UGGGGAAUCUUGCGCAAUGGCCGAAAGGCUGACGCAGCGACGCCGCGUGUGGGAGGAAGCCCUUCGGGGUGUAAACCACUGUUGCCCGGGACGAAACCGGCGUUGAGACGCCGUUGACGGUACCGGGUGAGGAAGCACCGGCUAACUCUGUGCCAGCAGCCGCGGUAAUACAGAGGGUGCGAGCGUUGUCCGGAAUCACUGGGCGUAAAGGGCGCGUAGGCGGCGCGGUAAGCGUGCGGUGAAAGCCCGGGGCUCAACCCCGGGUCGGCCGUGCGGACUGCCGGGCUUGAGCACAGUAGAGGCGGGUGGAAUUCCGGGUGUAGCGGUGGAAUGCGUAGAGAUCCGGAAGAACACCGGUGGCGAAGGCGGCCCGCUGGGCUGUGGCUGACGCUGAGGCGCGACAGCGUGGGGAGCAAACAGGAUUAGAUACCCUGGUAGUCCACGCCGUAAACGAUGGGCACUAGGUGCCUGGGGGGAGCGACCCUCCGGGUGCCGGCGCUAACGCAUUAAGUGCCCCGCCUGGGGAGUACGGCCGCAA
rnacentral:rRNA from 1 species